UAAGGAAUAUUGGUCAAUGGACGCAAGUCUGAACCAGCCAUGCCGCGUGGAGGAUGAAGGUCCUCUGGAUUGUAAACUUCUUUUAUUUGGGAAGAAACCCACGGUUUCUACUGUGGUUGACGGUACCAGAUGAAUAAGCACCGGCUAACUCCGCGCCAGCAGCCGCGGUAAUACGGAGGGUGCAAGCGUUAUCCGGAUUCACUGGGUUUAAAGGGUGCGUAGGCGGGCAGGUAAGUCAGUGGUGAAAUCCCCGAGCUUAACUUGGGAACUGCCGUUGAUACUAUCUGUCUUGAAUACUAUGGAGGUAAGCGGAAUAUGUCAUGUAGCGGUGAAAUGCUUAGAUAUGACAUAGAACACCAAUUGCGAAGGCAGCUUGCUACACAGUUAUUGACGCUGAGGCACGAAAGCGUGGGGAUCAAACAGGAUUAGAUACCCCCGUAGUCCCUGAGCGGGCUGGCAAGGCGCAU
rnacentral:rRNA from 1 species